GACGAACGCUGGCGGCGUGCUUAACACAUGCAAGUCGAACGGUGAAGCGCCUUCCUUUUUGGUGGGUGUGGGUGAGUGGCGGACGGGUGAGUAACACGUGAGUAACCUUCCCCCUUCUUCUGGAUAACCGCAUGAAAGUUUGUCUAAUACGGGAUAUUCUGCGUCUGUCGCAUGAUGGGUCGGGUAAAGAUGUUGUUUCGGUGGGGGAUGGGCGCGCGGCCUAUCAGGUUGUUGGUGGGGUGGGGGCCUACCAAGGCGGGGACGGGAAGCCGGCCUGGGAGGGUGGACGGUCAGAGUGGGGAGGAGGCACGGCCAAGACUGCUAUGGGAGGCAGCCGUGGGGAAUAUGGGACGAUGGGGGGAAGAAUGAUGCAGCGAGGCCGCGUGAGGGAUGGAGCCAUGCGGGUUGUGAAACUCUUUCGCCAGUGAAGCAGGGCUGCCUUGUUUGUGGGUGGGUUGACGGUAGCUGGAGAAGAAGCGCCGGCUAACUACGUG
rnacentral:rRNA from 1 species